UUAAAAUUAAUGACGUCAUAGAAAAAUGGCGGCCACCAAAGACAUAAUGGAAUCGCUGGCAGUUAGUUGUUUAAUGUGUUGCAAAAAUGCCCUAAAAAUUGAUGUUUAAUUGUUCACACAAUCAAGGAUGGAUACAUCAUCAACAACAACACCUGACAAACAUGGGUCUGAGACUUCACAGUCGCUGGAUUCCAGCCAUCAGAAGACAGACUCAGGAAAUCCUGUGCAAGUGACUUGUCAGCGUGAAAGGCGGAGACGAGAACACAAUGAUAUGGAGAAAAAGAGAAAAGAACAGAUUAAAGCUUGUAUCUGUAAGAUGGGUGAACUUCUGCCUCCAAACUACAUCACUAGUGAAAGACAUAGCACGUUAGAGAUUGUUGAGAAGUCACUUGCAUACAUGAGAGAAAUGAAAGAAGCUAAAACUAAAUUCACAGGCACAGAAGAAAGUUUACAACAAGAGGUUGCCAUCUUGAAAGCUGAAAGGGACAAGUUCUCUGAAAUAAUCAAAGCUGCUGGUCUAUCUACAGAAUCUAUUCCCACCAAUGGUGUUAGCUCCACAACAGAUGUCAAAGAUGAAAGUCCGAAGCCAAAGAACAAAACAAAGAAACGUAAUACUCUCAAUGCCCACCUACAGCAGCUACAAGAACAAAGAGAAAAACAACAACAACAGGAAAUGAUCUCAUCAUCAGUGUCUGUAUCAGACGACACUGCUGGAAACUUACCACAGAAUCAGUUAAUGAACAUGCCAGGUGGUGCGUUUAUCAAUGGACAAAAUGUCAUGUUUAAUCCGAUGAUGAAUCAGUUCAUGAUGCCGGGAAUGAUGGGAAAUGGGAACCAGAUGAUGCCAAACCUCGGACCAAUGGGAGUCAUUGGUGCUGGUUCCAGUACUGGCAUGCCAGGUGUUGCUAAUAAUAACAUUGCAAAUCCGAUAGGUCAAAAUUCAAACCCACAAAGUGAUCAGAAUACAGGCAAUAUGAACAAAUCAGCAGAUGAUUCCGAUGCAGGAUUAUUACAGCUGGCAAUGCAGGAUGCUGGAAUCACUCCUGGUAGUAACUCGGGACAGCAGAGUUCCUCGGCAUUGACUCCGUCUGUGUCAGAGACUGCGCAGGAAGCAGAAUCUAGCUCCUCUCAGAACAAUGCUUUACAAACACUCGCAUCAGUUGCUACUAGUGAUCAUAUUUUCUCCACGGAAAAUAGUUCUACAGACAACCAGUCUACAACAGCAUCAGGGACUGGUUCUUUGACUGGUAGUGCAUCAAAUAUGCCCAUGAUGACAAGUACGCAGUCUGGUUUACAACCAAUGUUACAGACUAGUAAUAGUGCUCUCAUAAAUAUGCCAAUGUUAGGGAACCCAACUGGACUGCCAGGACAACAACAACAACAGCAGCAGCAGCAGCAGAUGCAGCAGAUUAUGUUCAUAAAUGAUCAAGGGAUACCCAUGAUUGCCAAUGUGCCUGUGGGUAUGGACCCAAAUAAUCCAAACAUGUUUAAUAAUUCUCAGAAACCAGGAAUCAUGCCUGGUAUGAAUCAAACAAAUCUUAUAAAAGACCAGACAGGAAAUAUGGACCAGAAUGCACUUGCAUUAGCACAGCAGCAGGCAAACAUGGCAGCGUUACAAAAUCAGUUACUUGGACAAAAUGCUGGCAACAACCUUCCCAAUAUGCCGUUUCAACCUCAAAACUUGCUGCAAGGAAAUAUCAUACAGACGCCAAAUGGUCAGUUGUUGCAGCAGAUAGGACCUCAGAUAAAUGGUCAAGGUCAGCUGCUAGGAAUGCCGGGUCAGGGUCAGGGACUAGUUGUUGCUGGGCAACAAGGUCAGCUGACCUUAAAUACAAUGCCCAGUCAACCAAAUCAGUUACCGUCUGCCUUGAUACUGCCAAAUGGUCAAAUCAUUCCUGUGGUUACAAACCCAGGUAAUGUUGUAUCACAGCCAGGAAUCACUUUAAGUCAAGCGCAACUAACUCAGCCAAGAAUGUCAGGGCCUCAGAUGCAACCAGCAAUGGAUGGUCAGAUUAUAUCAGGGCCAAACAGUCAAGGUUUAUUGAUUCCGGCAGCGUCUGUGGGUCAGGUUGGGACGUCAAGCACAGCAGCAACUCUUAGUACUAGUGUGGUACCAACUUCAGCAAUACAGACCGUUAUGACUUCACAAAUACAGGGCUCAACAGUUCAAACACAGAAACCAAUUUCUUCUUCACUACCAGGUCCUCUGCCUAAUGUCUCAAAUAGCAACCAGCCUAAAAUAGUUAGCAUUCCACCUGGAGCACCAAAUGUUGGAAGUGGUGGUAUAGCGGCUAAUGGGAAGCCAUCUGGUACGCCUAUCCUUCUGAGCCUGCCAAUCAAUGGUCAGCCCACCACUGUACUGCUAGAUCCGGUAACCAUGCAGGUUUUAGGUACGGUUCAACCAGGUCAGCAGCCUGUUCCGCAACAACCUUCAGCUGCUGUCAGUGGAGUUCCCACUACAGCUGCCGUGCAACCACCAGUCAGUGCGCAACCCGGUGCAACAGCAAAUAAGAACAAAAAUAAAAAUAAUGCCAAUCAGCGAGCCAUAUGUCCGAAACCCCUUGGUGGAGAAGGCUUUAACCGCCAGUCAACUCCUGUUAAGAAGAAGAGGCCUCCACCGAAAACUGCUAACAAAACCAAGGAAACUGCACAAGCAGAUUCUUUGUCCGAAUCUCUGCAGAUACAAAUUCCAGAGUCUACGACAGAUCCUGAAGUUUCUUCAGCAGUGUCUUCAGAAUCUACAGAUAUUCUUGCUAAAGCAGCUGAAUCAAUCUUCUCUCCACCUGCAGGAGAAGUUGCAGGUGUUGGAGGAGCAUUUUACAAUCCUGCAAAUGAAGAUAACCCUCUUCAUAUAGACACAAGUGCAACUGAAGUGGAAGACGAUUUAAAAUCUCCAAGUAAACAAUCGAAAAAACUUACUAAUGUAAGUGUUGCAAAUACUGGAACGUUAGAAGAUAAUGUGCUAGGUCUGAAUUCAGUUGCUGAAGGAGCAAAGGCAAUAAAUGUAUCGAAGGUUGUGAAUAAUGCUGGAAAAAGUGAGGAAUCAAAUGCUGAUAAUGUGACUUCUCUGUCAGUAACCCUCGAGGAAAUUGCUGGAAUGCAGUUCAGUGAAAGUGUUACAAAUAUAUCUGACAAAAACAGUGAGAUAAUGGUGGUUAGUGAAACCAAUAAAGUUAGUAAGAAAAGUAAACCAAGUUCGUCAAAAAGUAGCGAAAAUAAAAAGGAAACUGAAACUAAAUCUGGUCACAGAUCUGGUGGUUCAAAAAAUAAAUCUUCGAAAAAACUAGUAGCAGAAAAAAGUAGUGUUUUAGAAUUAGAAAAAGUUGAUUCAGAUUCACAAAUGGAUAUUGAGAGUACUUUGAUACAUAUCCCAGACAAUAUUACAUUCAGUGAGAAUGAUUUAUCAGAUGUUUUGGAUCAGGUCGAACAGUUAGGAAGUUCUGUGUCAGAAAGUGCAAAUAAAGGUCAAGCAUCAGCCAAAAAGUCAAAAUCUAAGAGAAGUAAAGCUGCUGAUCCAGAAAGUGAACCGAGUUCUAAAAAACGUAAAAGUAGCAAAGAUGUAAAAGAUAGUUCUAAAAGUAAUACGCCAGCAAAGGAAAUACUCAGUAUGCCAUCGUCAUUAUCAGUGUAUGAUUUUGACGAUUCAGACGAUAUUGUGCCAUCAAUUUUACCUCUUAAUGGUAAAGAUUUUACUGCCCUAUCUUCCACUCCUACGAAAACGGAAUUAGGUGUUACCGACUCUGAAGACUCACAAAAAAGUGAAACAAAGUCGAAAAAUAGUGCUCAAACUAAGACGAAGAAAAGUUCAAAAAGUGCUAAGAGUUCAAAAGACAAUGAAGUCAGUUCACAGAAGGUUGUGAGUGAUGAUCAGUCAAAUAGUUUGUUAUUUGAAAUGAAAGAUCUAACAGAUAGUGAUAAGAAAACAUAUGAAAAUAAAGAAAAUAAAUCUGACACUAAUAACCAGACCAAAGUAUCUGCAGCUCUACCAAGCAUGCCGGAGAUUGACACCACAACAAGUCUCUUUGGGUUUCCAGUUCCAAAAAAAUUACAGCGUCCUGACAUGUCGUCUCGCGCUCAGCCGACUCCGAAAAUUGUGUCUCAAGUAUCACCAAAGCCAAGCUCACAACCUAACACUCCUUUAGUUUCACCAAAACAACCCAUGACUUCACCAAAAACUGUACCUGGUAUGGUUUCUCCCUUACAGAACAGUUUCUCACCUGAACUUGUCUCUCCAAAACUUAGUAUUGUCUCUCCUAUUCAGGGGAUUCUUCCAGAAAACGAUAAUGUUACGUCUUCACCAAAGCAUUACACGGAAAUGUCACCGAUAAAAAAGCGAACACCCCCAGAGAAACUGGAAAGUAUGAAAGUUAGCUCAUUUAGUGCCUUAAAUUCUGUGCCAUUGUCAGAUGCUUCCACCGAUUCAUUUACUCCAAUGGAUAGUAGUAAACCAGCUGUAAGUUCACAACCCAUGGGUGUGAUAACAUCUGCAAAAACACUGCCACCAUCUGUUCCUGAAUCGAACAAACAGAGUAACGAACCUAAAGUUCCAAAUGAGCCAAAUACUGUGUUAAAGAAGAAUGUAUCGGAAAACGUUCAAAGCUUGCCGAGUAGCACUCAGUCGUCAAAUGUAGGACAGAAGCCGCCAAACAGCGGAAGAAAUUCUUCUACAAAUGUGGAAAACAAAUUCAAUGUUACAAGUGUUCCUGCAUCUAAUGCAAAUAGUAUGCCAGUUUCUGCUCAAAGACCAUCUCAAACUUCAGUUAAUUCCUCGCAAAAUAAUAGGUUUGGAAAUCAGUUCAACAGUGAUCCGGUUUAUGGUUCGCUAUCAGGCAUGAAUAAUAGAUCUGUACCCAAGGACACUACUGCUCGCUCAAAUGGUGGAAUGAAUAAUUUUUCAGUACCAUAUUCAGCUGACUCGAUAUUCAGCUCGCAUGCAGAAAAGGUGAUAAAAUCACCACCAAAUGUGAACAUAUCGACUUUAAAUGUUAAACCAGACACUUCUAAUUUGUCAAAGUUAAGAAACACAGGUAAUCCCUACUCAGUUGAUAGUUUUGUACAGUCUAGUAGGGAAGAAGGCAUAAGACCAAGACCAGACACAAUUGGAGCUCACUCAGACUUAAUCAGCAACAACGACUUAGCUAACACGACAAAUGACUUUUCACGAUUGCAGUCGGAGAGCUCACCAGAUGGAUUUAAUUUUGCAAACAUAGGUCUGAAUCUGCAGCCUAUCACAAGUAAUAUACCGGCCAGUUUUAUGGACACAUCAAGCACGACAACAUCCAACAUGUCAUCAUCAUUUUCAUUUUCCUUAUCGUCAACAUCAUCAACAGUAACGACAAGUGCAGGUGGUAUUGGUCAUCAUCAGUUUCCAUUUUUUCCGCCAGUUUUAUCGUCUUCUUCAAAUGUGCCAUCUUCACAGACCAGUCUGCCAGCAACAAUGUCAAAUAUGGAGAUGUUUGAUCAAAACAAUAGUGGUAACAAUGUCAUACAAAGAAAUAACACAGUCAUGCAUCAAAGUGGCAAUAAUUUGCCAAGAGGCGACAACAGUCAUAUUUCUAGAGUUGAUUCAAGUAACGUACCAAGGGGCGAGCCUCUGCAGAGAAAUGAUAAGGGGCCGCCACCAAUCAGGUCAGAUGACAGUAAUCGAGAGCAGGGAACCAACCCAUCAUGCAGCAAGCAGAAAAUGCCUAAAGGACAGGGUCCGGCUAUUAUACAAGAACCGUUUUCAUCAUUCCCAAACACAAGCGGUGGGCCAGACAACAAUUUCUUCCAUGAUUCACAAAUGAAAUCUAACGUGGGUAAAAGUCCAACUGAACAAAUGAGAAAGCCGCCACCACAGGAUAAAAUGAUGGAGAUGAAUAGUUCGCAUUCCCGCAGUAGUAGCACACAGUCUUCUAUGUCAGAUAAGAGGGGCAAUACCAUGGAUAGAUCUCCUCAGAUGAUGAACAAUUCCCAGCCUUAUUAUCAGUCAAAUUACCCGUCUUCCAAAUCUUUGAACACUCCACCUUUGCACCAUAUGAUGCCCCCAGAUGAAAGAGGGAGAACCAUGACAAACAGAUCACCUUAUGACACCCCAUUUCCCCCACCCCCAUCUUCUCAAGGUUUUAAUGCCAUGGGUCCAAGUUACAGAUUUGAUAGUGGGCCACCAAGCUUUAGUAGGGAUAAUUCUGGAACUCAACCAUUGAGUCAUACCCCUGUUAAUUCUGGAGGCAGGAAGUCUGCAAAUCCUCCUCCCCCUGCUCAAACAUCUGUGGUUAAACCUCCCCAAAAACAAUCUGCUCCUCCACUAGUGCCAAUGGGUGGGCCUCCACAAGCACCCCCAUCGCAGGCUCCAAGGCCUACACCUCAGAGUCACAGAGCAACUACGCCCCAUGGCAACCAGGCAGGUCCCACUCCCACACCAACUGGGGUCAGUCAGUCAAGGCAGUCGAAACAGCCUUCCCGUAACUCCAAGCCACCUUCAUCAAAGAAGUCAAAGACCUUGCCAUUUAUGGAAGUGGACAGUAAUUUGUCAAACUCCAUAUUUGAGACUAAUAGGAGUAUGACUCCAUUCUUCCCAACUAUGCAAAAUCUUUCUCCACAAUCUAGGAUGCAACAUGAAGGGUCACCAUUCCUUCCUGGUAAUUUCUUUGGUCCUGGGCCAAGGUUUCCUAAUUCCAACACACCUAUGCCAAAGAAUUCAGACAUUGGUGCCCCAUUUAACCCAUUAUUCCCUCCAAGAGGGGCUCAGAAUGGUCUAGGUUUAAACUUUCAGCCUGGGUUUGGAAUGAACAUGAAUCCAUUACAUGGUAACCAUGGAAAUGCCCCACAACUAACUCCACACACAGCUCCACACAUGGCUAAUUUCAAUUUAAACAACAUUUUCUCAGAUGGUGCAUCACAAAAUGAGUCUUCCCUCAACAUCUCGCCAAUAAAAUUCCCCCAUACUAACACAAUGUUACAACAUCAGGGCAUGGAACAUAACGCCAUGCAACACCAUCAUCAGUACAACAGGGGUCAUCCAUCAGUCAUGUCUAUAAAUAGCAUCCUGGGGCCCAAUCACCAUGGUUUUGAUGGAAGAAUGAACACGUCCAUGGCGGGUCCGUUCCACAGUCAUGGCCACCCAUCUUUCAUCCCACCCCUGAAUUUCUCCAUGCAUGACCAUUAAAUGUUAUUAUCGGUUUAUAAUGCAGUUGCAAGGUUUAUUUGGCAGUGGACAUGAUUGUACAAGUCUAAGUUAUUUUUAGUUUGUUCAACUGUGUGUAUUCUACAGGAAAAAAACUGACAAAAAAUUAAUGUACAAAAUAAUUUUUUAUGGAGAUUUUUAAGUAUUUUUUUUGUACAGUUAUACAUAGGUUGUGCUUACUGGAGAUAUAAGCUUAAUGUUUACUAAUCACGUGCUAAUAUGAGAUGAAUUUCCUAUGAAGAAAUUAUGUAAAAGUAACAUUUUACUGACUCGAAUUGAAUUAUACUUUAGUUGUUACUGACAAAAAGUGAUCACAGACUUGAAAAAACCUGAUUUUAUUUUUAACAUUGUUGGGAGACUUUGUAUGCUUUUUUAAAAACAAUUUGAUAUAUCCAAGCCAAAGCUUGAUUUAUUUAAUUACAUGUUAAAUUAAUAUAACUAUUAUACACAGAUUUAUAUCAUUUUUAUCAAACAGAAUCAUCGUAAGUGUAUGUAUAAUUGUGGUGUUAUUGGACUUUGUGAUUCUUAUCUCCCAUGAGCUUUAGGUUGGGUUGUGCUCUGUCCAGUAUCUAUUUUCUGUGUAGUAACAAUUUUAUUUGUUGUUCUUAUUUUAUCAGAUUUGGUAAAUUUUUGUUGAUGGAUUGUACAGUUGGUCAAAACUAGCUCAUCAGGUCAGAAAUCAGGGCUGCCAGGUCAUAAACUAGCUCACAAGGUCAGAAAGUCAGCUAGUUGAUUAUUCUUGUCUGUUACAGCAAGGAGCAGAUAGGUCAUAAACUAGCUCACAAGGUUAGACUGCAAGGAGCAGAUAGGUCAUAAACUAACUCACAAGGUUAGAAGUCAGCUCGCCAAUUAUUCUUAUCUGUUACAGCAAGGAGGAAAAAGGUCAUAAACUAGCACAUCAGAUCAGAAAUCACCUGCCAUUUGAUCUUGUCUGUAAUAGCAAGGACCAGUCGGAUCAAAAACUAUCUCACCAUGUCAGAAAUCAGCUUGCCAAUUAAUUUGGUUGAUUAAAUUAAGGACUGAUGGUGUGGGGGUAGGGAUGUGUGUUGGUUUUGGUCUUUAGGGUUUUUGUUACCCUUUCUGUAGAGGAGAAAACAUUAAAUUUGAGAUAUAUCUAUUUAAAUUAAAUUUACUUUAUCUACUGGUUCUCUGUGCAGACAUCUUUUGGUGUCUUAAUUUAGUUUGAUAAAAAUGCACAAAAGAAACCGUAUCAAAUUAUGGUCAGAAACUGGUCUGUUUAGAGUUGAGCAGUUCUCUUAUUUUAGAUAAUUAUCAUUAUUUGAAUAUCAUUUAUUCAUAUUAAGUAAUAUAAAGAUAAUAAAGAUUUACAAAUGUUUGAUAAUGAAACAGGAUAUGAUACUGUUCCCCAGUAUUGUUCGAUUAUAUCAUAUCUGCUUACAUGUACAUAUAAUAUUGUUGCAGUUUAUUUUUUGCAUCCAUGACAAGAAUAUCAAAGGAUCAUACAUUUUUACAAGCAAUAUUACUGAAGUUUUCUUGUUAUAAUUUACUUUGUUAUUUUUGUGCUAAGCCUUUGCUGGUCUUGUGUCUUUUACAAAAGAACUAGAUUAUUAUCGGUAUUCAUGUAAAAGCCCAGGCAGGAUAUUGUUUUUUUGUACAUAAUUGUAAAAGCAUUGCAACACUUUUACAUCUGAAAUAUUAAUAUGUAUUAAGGGAAAAUAUGUGUUGUUUUUUGAAGGGGUUCAGCAAUAGCUUUUUAACAUUUUACUCUGUGAAUAAAAGGAAGCAAACAGAAAUAAUUUUAUCAGUAAAAUUCUUCCUAUAAAAGCUAUUACAUGACAAUUUAUGGUACAUCAAAAAUAAAUGAAAAAUGAUCAAAUGAAAUAUCUGACAAUAUUUAUUAUGCCCCCAACUUUGAAGUUUUCUUUUGUUGGUUGUCAAUAAUUAGAAAAUGCUUGAUUCCCAAUGCUCGGACUUCAUAUGGUGAUUGAAUGUGGUCAGUAGAUGACCUCAUUGUUUGCAAGAAUGGGGCAGUAGAUCACAGGUAAAGGCCAUAGUGACCUUUUAGACUGAAAACUUUUUGAGGCCAAUGAUUAAAGAAGGUUUUAGCCUACAGUUGUUGAAAUUAAUAGGAAGAUUACCUGUGGUCAGUAAGUGAGUCGUUUAAUUUGAGCCGUGCCGUGGGAAAACCAACAUAGUGGCUUUGCG
rnacentral:misc_RNA from 1 species